UGAUUUUACGUCAUAAUGCCGUUCUGUCGUCUUUACGUAUUUAAACAGUGAUGUACUUUACUUUAAACUGACCAUUAUCAAAGUAUUGUUAGGCACGAAAUACACAAAUGAUUUUCAUAUUUCAUUUUGGACAUGAAUUGAAAUAUGCAUGGAAAAGGUCAAGCCUGAUGCACCGGACAUAUCCUGAAGGACGUUUCAAUCUUGUCCACCACCUAGUUUAAGAGGGCAAUUUUCUGUCAGUAAUAUUUCGCCAUUAUUCCAUCUCUCUAUGCCUUUCUUAAAAUGACAGUGUGCUUAUUCAAGGGCAAAUUGUCUAACAUUCGUAGCAGGUUACACAAAAACGUAGUGGCUCUCCAAUCGUUAACAUUACAGUGACGUUUCUUUCAUCUCAGUUUUCUGUUUUCGCAUACAAGUUGUUUACUUUUAAGAAAUUCACGCAUGUCAAGCAGUCCUAGGUUUUCUGAAAAUGUGUCAUGGGAGAAAUUACUGUGCUCGGAGAGUAAGUGAAAGUGUUACGUUAUGAGCAUUAUUACGUAAGCAAUAAGCAUUAUGACUCGUAUCAGUUUUUACAUUUCACCGCCUUCUAAUUUCAAGUUGCUAAAACCUGCAACGCAUAUUAAAUAUUUUAUAUCAUUAAAAAAUAAAACGUACAUGAAUAUUAUUA